rnacentral:rRNA from 1 species
GAUGAACGCUGGCGGCGUGCCUAACACAUGCAAGUCGAGCGAACGGACCCUAAGCUUGCUGCUCUGAUGUUAGCCGCAGGCGUGAGUGUAACACGUGGAUCACCCCCCUGUAAGACUGGGAUCACCUCGGGAAACCGGAGCUUAUACCGUAUAAUAUUUUGAUCCGCGUGGUUCGAAAGUGAAUUACGGUGUUGCUGGCUCUUCUAGAUGCUUCCCGGCUGUUUUAGCUAGUUGGUAGGGUACCGGCCUAUCAAGGCAACCAUGCGUAGACGACGUGAGAGGGUGAUCGGCCACACUGGAAGUGAGACGCGGUCCAGAGUCCUACGGGAGGCAGCAGUAGGGAAUGGGCCGCAAUGGGCGGGAGCAUGACGGAGCGAGGGGGCGUGUGUGACGAAGGUCUUCGGAGCGUAAAACUCUGUUAUGGGGGAAAAACAGAUGUGGCAGGAACCGAGGAGAGCGUGACGGUACCUAAUCAAAAAGCACCGGCUAACUACGUG